ACGUCGCGAUUUCCCAGAAUCAGAGGAACUCCUCGAUUUCCUGUCCCCCAGCGUGCCCCCCAUUUUGGCCUCCGACUGGGAACAUUUUGGAGGGGAGUUAGGUCUAUUGUUGCCGGCAGGACUCUGAUAUCUAGGCGGGGGAAUGUCUUAAAACUUUUGGAGGGAACUGGCAGUGGGAUUUGGCGGGGAGAGAGACACUGGUUUCCCACUCGGCUUGCUCCCCUAACUUCCCUCCUUCAACCCUUAAACUUUUCUCUUUGUGGCAGUCUUUCUCUGUCCCUGAGCUCCUUGCUGUACCCGCCCACUAUUUUUCGUUCUCGGCCCCUGAGAGCCCUUGCAUUGGAUAAAUGCAGUUAUUUCACAGAUUCUGGAAGUUGGCGCCAGUCUCCAGUUAAAGCUGCGAAGCUUAAGGGUCUUCGUAACAAAAGGAACCACCAAGAGAGAGACACAGCCUGAGUGGGGGAGGAGCAGAGAGAGAGGAGACACAGAAUCCAAAGCAGGCUCCAGGCUGUGAGCUGUCAGCACAGAGCCCUACAUGGGCUCAAACCCACCAACUGUGAGAUCAUGACCUGAGAUGAAGUCGGAUGCUUAACUGACUGAGCCACCCAGGCGCCCCUAAAAAUUGUAUGUUCUAAGCAUACUUUUCUGGGGAAAAGAUCUACAGUUUUUAUGAGAUUCUCCCAGUGAUGUGACCUAGAAAAGAUUAAUAAUCAUGAUAUGCAAAUUCUUAUGUUAUCUGAGGAAAACAGACCCAAGGACAACUCUGCUGGAGAAUCCUGACCUCUGAGAAACACUUCCUUUUCUCCAAAAAAACUUUGGAACUAAGUCAUGGUUUAUGUUCAGUGUAUUUGAGGUCAUAUUGUUGAUUUGAUUAUAAAGCUUUUGUGAGGAGGCAUACUUACUGCAAAAAGGUGUUUUGUUUGUUUGUUUUUUUAGUCACAUUAUCCAAAAAGAAAAAGCAACUCACCAAGACUCCGCAAAAUUCUAUUCAUCCCACUGGGCUCAGACUCUGGAAUUGUUUCCAAAUACUGGAGGGCCCGGACCUCAAACAAACCUACAAGGAAAACUCAUGUUGGUGAAAUUUUCCAAUAGUUACUGAAAAUCACUUAAAUAAACCUCUGUGCUUUCUA